rnacentral:snoRNA from 2 species
ACGACCUUACUUAAACAGGAUCUGUUCUAUAGGUUUGUACCUCUGUAUUCUUGAUUCCUAAAACGUCAGAAACCCAUGUCUGGUUAAUGAAUCAGGACUGUGUAACCAGAGCGUGAUUAAAAGAGCGGUAGCAUAAAGUGGUGAAUAAACUAUAGUAGCAACAGAUAAAAGAGCAAAGAGACAAGAAAAAGUAGGAAAAGCUAGCACCACGCUAACUCCUAAGGCUACAUGGUUGUCUUACAAACA